rnacentral:rRNA from 1 species
ACGCUCGACACCUACUGGAGGCAGCAGUUGGGAAUAUUGGACAAUGGAGGAAACUCUGAUCCAGUGACGCCGCGUGAAGGAAGAAGGUCUUCGGAUUGUAAACUUAUUUUGUCAGGGAAGAAAAAAUGACUGUACCUGAAGAAAAAGCACCGGCUAACUACGUGCCAGCAGCCGCGGUAAUCUGAGCGGGCUGGCAAGGC